rnacentral:lncRNA from 1 species
AAUAUGUGGAAAGGAUGCAAGAGUUUGAGAAAUUGAGCAACAUUGAAAGAUAAUCAAAUGUACAGAAAUUAAAGGGGGUACCACCCAUACUUAUAGAUUUAGCCGGCGAUAAAUCUUUCGAUUCACUUUAGUUUUAUGUUUAGCCAGACCAAUAAGUGUAUGUAGUGUGUCUUAAUAUUAAUGAAGUGUAAUAUAUAUAAUUUCUAAAUAUUUUAAUAUAUUUUUGAUUUGUGCCAAAA